UAGGUUAUAGGUGUUUAUUGUUGUUAUUUUAAUAUAUUGGAUUAGUAUAGUGAGUGAUAGUUAUGGGGUUUUUAUAGUUUAUUUAGUACAGUUAUGGAAUUAUUUUUAUUUCUAUUAAAUUUAGGUUGUUUAAUACCUUUUGUAUUAGGGUUCUUUUAUGUUAGUAUAUAUUAAUAGUUUCUCGAUAAAUAUCGGGCUAUUUUAUUAGUUUGAAUCUCGUUGUAUAGGGUUUAUUUAUGGUAAAAUAGUUAUGAAAUAUUAUUCAAGUUAUUUUGUAUCUAGUUCUUUUAGAGGUGUAAUAGAGUAUAUAUUUAUAUUGAAGUUAUGCAGGGAUUAGCUUGUGUAUUAUUUAUAUAAUGUUAGUGUUUUUAUUUAUUUGUGAUGUUAGAAGUUCUUAUUUUUAUGGUAUUAUUACUGAAUAAGUUAUAUUUAUUAUUUUUUUUAUUUAUGAUAAAAUGAGAGAUGUUAUGUUAAUUUUGGUUGUUAUGGUAUAAUGAUGAUAUUAGUAAUUUUAUUAUUUAUUUUUUAUUGAUUUAAAUUUAGGUAUGGUAAUUUAUGUGGGAAUUAGCAAUGAAGAAUUCGGCAAAGAUGACUUUUGACUGUUUAGCAAAAACAUUGUUUUUUGUUUAAAUAAGAAAUAAUUUCUGCCCACUGCUGUUGUGGUAAAGGGCUGCAGUAUUUUGACUGUAUGAAGGUAGCAUAAUCAUUAGCUUUUUAAUUGGGAGCUGGUAUGAAGGGGAAACAGAGGUUUGCUGUUUUAUUGUUAUUUAAUGAAUUUUAUUUUUAUGUGAAAAAUCAUAAGUAUAGUAAUGGGACAAGAAGACCCUAGUAAGUUUUAUUUUUAUUUUUAAUGCAUGUAUAGGUAAUAAUUAGCGUAAUUUAUUUUUGGGAAUUUGGCUGGGGCGGCAGAUUAUUAAACGUGAUUUAUUGUUUAACUUUAUGUUGACGAUUUAUUGACCUAGGAGGUUUAGUUGAGUGAAAAAUUACUGUAGGGAUAACAGCGUAAUUUUUUUUAAGAGUUCUUAUUAACAGAAAAGUUUGCGACCUCGAUG
rnacentral:rRNA from 1 species